ACAGGGAAAAGCUUGCUUUUCUGCUGACGACCGGCGCACGGGUGCGUAACGCGUAUACAAUCUGCCUUAUACAGAGGGAUAGCCUUUAGAAAUGAAGAUUAAUACCUUAUAGUCUAUAUAUAUAGCAUUAUAUAAGUAGUAAAGCUUCGGUGGUAUAAGAUGAGUAUGCGUCCUAUUAGUUAGUUGGUGAGGUAACGGCUUACCAAGACAACGAUAGGUAGGGGCCCUGAGAGGGGGAUCCCCCACACUGGUACUGAGACACGGACCAGACUCCUACGGGAGGCAGCAGUGAGGAAUAUUGGACAAUGGAGGCAACUCUGAUCCAGCCAUGCCGCGUGCAGGAAGACGGCCCUAUGGGUUGUAAACUGCUUUUAUAUAGGAAGAAACCUUUUCACGUGUGAGAAGCUGACGGUACUAUAAGAAUAAGGACCGGCUAACUCCGUGCCAGCAGCCGCGGUAAUACGGAGGGUCCGAGCGUUAUCCGGAAUCAUUGGGUUUAAAGGGUCCGUAGGCGGGAAUCUAAGUCAGUGGUGAAAUCUUGCAGCUCAACUGUAAAAUUGCCAUUGAUACUGGAUUUCUUGAAUUAGUGUGAAGUGGUUAGAAUGUGUAGUGUAGCGGUGAAAUGCAUAGAUAUUACACAGAAUACCAAUUGCGAAGGCAGAUCACUAACACUAUAUUGACGCUGAGGGACGAAAGCGUGGGGAGCGAACAGGAUUAGAUACCCUGGUAGUCCACGCCGUAAACGAUGGAUACUAGCUGUUCGGUCUUCGGACUGAGUGGCUAAGCGAAAGUGAUAAGUAUCCCACCUGGAGAGUACGUUCGCAAGAAUGAAACUUAAAGGAAUUGACGG
rnacentral:rRNA from 1 species